rnacentral:tRNA from 1 species
GAGGUUAUAGCUCAGUGGUAGAGCGCUUAGCAUGCACAAGAUCCUGGGUUCAAUCCCAGUAUCUCCA